UACGGGGGGGGCAAGCGUUGUUCGGAAUUACUGGGCGUAAAGGGCUCGUAGGCGGCCAACUAAGUCAGACGUGAAAUCCCCAGGCUCAACCUGGGAACUGCGUCUGAUACUGGAUGGCUUGAAUCCGGGAGAGGGAUGCAGAAUUCCAGGUGUAGCGGUGAAAUGCGCAGAUAUCGGGAAGAACACCCGUGGCGAAGGUGGCUCUCUGGGACGGUACUGACGCUGAGACGCGAAAGCGUGGGGAGCGAACAGG
rnacentral:rRNA from 1 species